rnacentral:rRNA from 1 species
UACAUGGGGUGCAAACGUUGCUCGGAAUUAUUGGGCGUAAAGCGCACGUAGGCGGUUCGUUAAGUCGGAUGUGAAAGCCCUCGGCUCAACUGAGGAAGUGCACCCGAAACUGGCGAGCUUGAGUACGAAAGAGGAUCGCGGAAUUCCCGGUGUAGAGGUGAAAUUCGUAGAUAUUGGGAAGAACACCGGUGGCGAAGGCGGCUCACUGGCUCAUUUCUGACGCUCAGGCGCGACAGCGUGGGGGAUCAAACAGG